CGAGUAAAUUGUGCAGUCGCGCUUAUUUUAGAUAGGUGAGGAAAGUCCGAGCACCACAGAGCAGGAUAACGGCUAACCGCCGCCGAGGGCGACCUUAGGGAAAGUGCAACAGAGAUAUACCGCCUUGCUUAGGCAGGGUAAGGGUGGAAAGGCGAGGUAAGAGCUCACCGGCACAUUGGAGACAAUGUGGCCCUGUAAACCCUAUCCGGUGCAACAUCGAUAAAGGACGAUACGUCUGCUCGGCGUGUCUUUGACGGAUGGCUGGAGCUUAAGGGCAACCUUGAGCCAAGAUAGAUGAUUGCGUAAACAGAACUCGGCUUAUAGAUUUACUCGCUUU
rnacentral:RNase_P_RNA from 2 species